AGUGAACGCUGGCGGUAGGCCUAACACAUGCAAGUCGAACGGCAGCACAGUAAGAGCUUGCUCUUACGGGUGGCGAGUGGCGGACGGGUGAGGAAUACAUCGGAAUCUACUUUUUCGUGGGGGAUAACGUAGGGAAACUUACGCUAAUACCGCAUACGACCUACGGGUGAAAGCAGAGGAUCUUCGGACCUUGCGCGUUUGAAUGAGCCGAGGUCGGAUUAGCUAGUUGGCGGGGUAAAGGCCCACCAAGGCGACGAUCCGUAGCUGGUCUGAGAGGAUGAUCAGCCACACUGGAACUGAGACACGGUCCAGACUCCUACGGGAGGCAGCAGUGGGGAAUAUUGGACAAUGGGCGCAAGCCUGAUCCAGCCAUACCGCGUGGGUGAAGAAGGCCUUCGGGUUGUAAAGCCCUUUUGUUGGGAAAGAAAAGCAGCAGGUUAAUACCCCGCUGUUCUGACGGUACCCAAAGAAUAAGCACCGGCUAACUUCGUG
rnacentral:rRNA from 1 species